CCUUCUCCCUGGCUCCACCCCUGUGCCCUCAUCCCAUUGGCCCUGGUGCUCUGCCCCACCCCUCAAGACCCCCAUAUAAUCUCUGCUUUCAGUACUGGUUGGCUCUUUAUCCUUGAGGUUUUUUGUGGAAGAAGCAGACUAAAGCUGUCCGUGGAAUCCCACCCACAGACCCUCAUCUGUCCUUCUGCAUCACCCACAUCCCACAGGAGCUGAAAUCACCUGGGGUGAGCCCAGACCUGCCUGUGCCCCUGAAGUGGCUUCUUCACGGUGCUUCUUCAGGAAGGUCACAGCAGCCUGAACAACACCCACCAGGACACAGAGGGACUGGGCCAGCUUGCAAUGAGUCCUGACAGGAGAAAACUGAGGGAGGCUGCAGGUGAUCCCUCCCCAUCCCUGCUUUGCUAGAACAGACUGAGAGCUGAUGACUGACAGCAGUCCCUGCAUAAAACAACUCCCAACAUCCUUCCCAGCCCCUCCUGCAGGGACACAGGAUCUGGAUGGGGGCAGAGUGACACAGCUCCUGCACUGUGACCACCACUGCCUUUACUGGGUCCCAGAGCUUUAUUCUACAUAAAGCUGAAGUCUGCAAACAUGAGAACCUGCAAGGAAACCCACAAAACAAAUGUAUUUACAGAGAACAUCUUUUCACCUGGUUUAUGUAAGAAACCAUCCCAAAACAAAGGAAGGCUCAGAAGGUGAGCUGGGGAAAGAGGAAGCAGGGCUGAGUUUCUGCUGAACAGCUUGGCACACGUCAGGCUGGAUUAAUCAAGUCAGCCAAAUUCAAAAGACAAAAAGCAUAAACCCCAGCUCUGCUCCAACGCGUGUUUGCCUGCUGCAGAGCCUGCUUUGAGUCCUCUGAUCGUUUGUUUUCUGCUCAGCACACAGCUGUAAAUCCACUCUUCAGAGCAGCCAGUGAGAUUAGGAUGUUUAUUGUCUGUCUCGGUAACAGAAAAAAGGGAUAUCCCAGCAUUUACUGCCUCAUGAUCCCUCAGCAGAAAAAUCACCUGGAAUCACAACAAACGCUCCUGGAGCACAGAGAGGCCACAAAGUGGCAGCUAACAUUUACAAACCUCAUCUUGCUGCCCAGUGAUUUAACAAGAUCCACU